rnacentral:misc_RNA from 1 species
UACAGAGACUGCAAGCGUUAUUCGGAUUCACUGGGCGUAAAGGGUGCGCAGGCGGCUGAGUGUGUCAGGUGUGAAAGCCCGAGGCUUAACCUCGGAAUUGCGCUUGAAACUACUCGGCUAGAGUACCGGAGAGGGUAGCGGAAUUCACGGUGUAGCAGUGAAAUGCGUAGAUAUCGUGAGGAACACCAGAGGCGAAGGCGGCUACCUGGACGGUUACUGACGCUCAGGCACGAAAGCGUGGGGAGCGAAAGGG